UAUUCUAUAACUUCCCAUGUAGCUUAAAAUUAAAUUGUGUUAAAAUUUAUUGAUACAAUACUGCCGUCAUAGUGAAAAAGACCGUAUCUCGCAGUUUUGUCAAAAUUGAGAUUUUUGUAUUUUUGAAUUCUGCAGUUUGGCAUUUAUCUAUGGAUUAAAAAAAAAAAAAUCAAAUUUUAGUACAGAAAAAAGAUUUUGAAAAUAGUCAUUUUGCACAUUUUUAUAUUUAGGAUAAGCUUUACUUGCUAAAAAGACCGUAACUAGACAUUUCCUAAACAUAAAUACCGUAACUCUUCAAAAUAUGUUGAUAUUACUUGACAUUAAGACUGUAUCUAUAAAAGAUAAGCUCCCGCCAAAAGCGUACUUCCAAUACGGUGUUUAUAUUAAGUAGCGAAUUGACUUUUUGGUGGCGCGUGCCGCUUGGUGUCCCACAUGUGCCGUGAUUGCGUAAUAGUUUUAUUCAACCCGGACAUCUCUUUCAGUCAACUAACAGGUGUUUUUGUUUUCUUUUCGGCAAAUUGAUUCGCGGUUUUUUAACAUGGGAUCAAGGGCAAAAAGGAUGGUACUGCAAGUCUUGGAAAAUAAUCGACCAUUAGGACAAGAAUCUAGAAAUAGUUUAAACGACUCAACUAGUUUAAAGGACAGUUUGAUAAUAAGAGAAAACAUGAUUAUUUUGGAUGAAAACUUACAUCCCUUAAUUACGGACAGUUUUGUAGAGGAAAAUGUAAAUUUAUUGGAUAUGAAAGAUAUGUGUCAAAUUUUGGAUAUAGCCCAAUCAAACAAAAAACAAGAGGGAAGAGCAUUAAAUAAUUUUAUUCCCCAAAAGCCCGGUCCAUCCCGACACCUUUCCAGACGGCAGUAAGGAGGUACAAAGUCAGUUCUAUGGCGAGUAUUAUAGCCAUGUAUAUCUUGUCAACAAUGAACACAACGAAUUUGAUUUAAAAUAUAACAAAGAGACAGAAAAAUCACAGAGAUUAGGGCCAAAUAUUAUGGGUAUUGAAGGCAACCCAGAAAUGGUCCAGAUAAUGAAAAGCAAACAAAAGAUGGCGAGGAAUGCAGUGACCCUCAAGAAGAAGAGCUAGAGGGAUCUCAGACACUGGGUUCAGAAAUGAUGAAUACAGAAGCUGAUUCAGAAAUUGUUUAUGUCACAGAUAAAAUGAAAACCAAACAACAGGUAGAAAAAAACAUAAAUAGAGUUGACGAUGAGCGCUAUGAUCUCCAGGAACGCGAAGAGCUGGAGAUGCCAGAAAGACUACGGUCAGAAAUUAUGGAUGUUGAAGCUGACUCAGAAAUUCUUCAGACUUCUGAUAUUGAAAACAACACAACAGAAAGUGUGUCACUUGCUACUGCCGAAGAUUGUAUGGAAUUGGAUACUUCUUAUACAAAGAAAGGAGAGGCAAGAAGAAAAAAAAAUAUGUAGUAGAGGCAAGAAGAAAAAUAAAGAUAAAAGGAAGACUUUUUCAAGCGCCAAAAAAAAGGAGAAACAUGCUGUUAAAAAAAGUUGAGAGUGCAAAAGGAAUUGUUUGACUAAAAUUGGCGAACCACUUCGUUUAAAAAUUAAUAAUAGUUACUGGGCCAAAAAUUUUACGGAGCAGAAAGCGUUUUUAAACCAUUACAUAGAAAAAACAAAAACGAAAAGUAACAGUAUUAAAAAACACUUUACAAAAAAGUAUUUCUUAAAAGGCGAUGAUGGUGUGCAUGUAGAAAUCUGUAAGAUUUUUUUUGACAACUUUGGGAUACGCUGGCAAUAAUGAUACUAUUUUGCGAAUUAUAGGCAGUCCUUUGUCAGAUCAACGUGGUUCAUAUAAAAGUAUAAAGGCCGAUCGUGACAUUAUCCAAAAUCACAUUAAAAAAUAUUCACCAUGCGUGUCCCACUACAGAAGGGAACACGCGCCAAAUAAACUAUAUUUGCCCGGUGAUAUAACAAUUACAAGUAUGUUUCAAGAUUUUAAAAUAUGUCACGCCAAUAUGAAAAUAUCAUACGAACAGUUGUGAAAGAAAUGAAAAUAUCAUUUACGAAAUUGGGACACGAGGAGUGUGAGAAAUGCGAAUCUUUUUUUCUGCAUAAUUCUAGCCACAAUAAAGAAAACGCAUCACAAAAUACCGAUUGUUCUAAUUGUUCUGGAUGGCUAGAACACAUAAAAAAAGUUGAAUUUACUAGAGAGGAAUAUCGUGCUGAUAAAAUACAAACUAACAAUGAACAUAGCAUAUUCUAUUGUACCGAUAUGCAAAAAGUCAUUAUGCUUCCUAGAAUAGAUAUGUUCAAGCAAGUUGUAUUUACACCUCACAUAAUUGCCUUUAAUCAAUCCUUUGUUCCUCUUGGCAGUCUAACUCGGGAAAAUAAGGCUUUGGCAGUUCUUUGGCAUGAAGCCAUUGCUGGGAGAAAAAAAGAAGACUUAAUUAGCUGCUACAACGUUUCUAUUACUAAAUAUGCAAGAAAUAAAGAGAAUAUUUACAUAUGGGCAGACAAUUGCAGCGGGCAAAAUAAAAAUUGGUCGCUCUUAAGUUAUCUUGUAUAUAUAAUUAAUACCAAUUACACCGCCGCUCAAAAAAUAACCAUUAAAUAUUUUGAGCCCGGACAUACUUAUAUGUCAGCAGAUAGCUUUCAUCAUUUGGUGGAAAAAGGCCUAAAAGAAAAUCCCAAGGUCUGCGACUUUCAGGAUUUUUCAAAUGUUGUCCAAAAUUGCACAAAGAAUAAUUCCAUAAAUGUCAAAGAGUUAACCUAUGCUGAUUUUAAACACCAAAUUUCACUACUAACUAACAGCUCAAUAAAGUUAAUAAAGAUCAUCCACUCCCAAAAGAUAUUGUUUUGAUAGAAGUAAGGAGAGGAUGCAUUCAAUUAUUUUACAAAAAGUGCUUUAAAGAAACGGAUUUCAAAGAACUCCAUUUAUCCUCAAAAAAUAAUUUUUUGGCUCAAGCCCAGGACCCCAAAAGUUAUACGGCAAAUCAAGGCAUUUCGUCUGAGAGAAAAAAGAAGAUUCUAAGCAACUUAUCCCCCAUUAUUCCAAGCCAAAAAUUGCAUUUUUGGAAUAAUCUGGUUGAAGGCAAUGCUGUUGAUCCAAUUAAAAAUAUUGAAGAUAAAUAAAAUUAAUUAUUUAGUGGAAACAUAUAUAUUUUUUUUACAUAAUUUGAUAUAACAAACCUAAGUCAUUUGUUUAACUUCUACUUUGUUUCUACAUUUAAACAUUAAAACUUUAAAAUUACAUAAA